CCUAGCUGUGUUGGCUUUCUAACCCGCACCACUUAUCGUGGUGGGAGACAGUGUCAGGCGGGCAGUUUGACUGGGGCGGUCGCCUCCUAAAAGGUAACGGAGGGGCUCAAAGGGUCCCUCAGAAUGGUUGGAAAUCAUUCAUAGAGUGUAAAGGCAUAAGGGAGCUUGACUGCGAGACCUACAAGUCGAGCAGGGUCGAAAGACGGACUUAGUGAUCCGGUG
rnacentral:rRNA from 1 species